UCCUCUUAGGAAAGUAGCGAAGCACAUGAUGACGGCCUCCAGGAAAAGCUUCUGGCAAUGCAUAUGCGGCCCGUACCAAAACCGACACAGGUGGGCAGGGAGAGAAUCCCGAGGUGAGCGAGAGAACUGUUGCCAAGGAACUCGGCAAAAUGACUCCGUAAGUUAGCGAGAAGGAGUGCUUAAGCAAUUAAGCCGCAGUGAAGAGGCCCAAGCGACUGUUUAACUAAAACACAGCUCUCUGCGAAGUCGCAAGACGAAGUAUAGGGGGUGACACCUGCCCGGUGCUGGAAGGUUAAGAGGAUCUGUUAAGAGCGAUCUGAAGCAGUGAUCCGAAGCCCCAGUGAACGGCGGCCGUAACAAUAACGGUCCUAAGGUAGCGAAAUUCCUUGUCAGGUAAGUUCUGACCCGCACGAAAGGUGUAACGAUUUGGGCGCUGUCUCGGCAGCAGACUCGGUGAAAUCUUAGUACCUGUGAAAAUGCAGGUUACCCGCAACUAGACGGAAAGACCCCAUGGAGCUUUACUGCAGCCUGAUAUUGAAUUCUGGUCAUACAUGUACAGGAUAGGUGGGAGACAAAGAGACGUGCACGCCAGUGUACGAGGAGUCGACGUUGGGAUACCACUCUUGUGUGACCGGGGUUCUAACCUGGUAUCGAGAACGGGUACGGGGAGAGUGUCAGGUGGGCAGUUUGACUGGGGCGGUCGCCUCCCAAAGAGUAACGGAGGCGCCCAAAGGUACGCUCAGAUUGGAUGGAAACCAAUCGUCGAGUGCAAUUGCAGAAGCGUGCUUGACUGUGAGACAGACAAGUCGAACAGGGACGAAAGUCGGGAAUAGUGAUCCGGCGGUGCCGAAUGGAAGGGCCGUCGCUCAACGGAUAAAAGCUACCCUGGGGAUAACAGGCUGAUCUCGCCCAAGAGUUCACAUCGACGGCGAGGUUUGGCACCUCGAUGUCGGCUCAUCGCAUCCUGGAGCUGGAUUCGGUUCCAAGGGUUGGGCUGUCCGCCCAUUAAAGCGGUACGCGAGCUGGGUUCAGAACGUCGUGAGACAGUUCGGUCCCUAUCUGUUGUGGGCGAAGGAGAUCUGCGGAGAGCUGUCCUCAGUACGAGAGGACCGGGAUGGACCUACCGCUGGUGCACCGGUUGUUCCGCCAGGGGCAUAGCCGGGUAGCUAAGUAGGGAAAGGAUAAGCGCUGAAAGCAUCUAAGCACGAAGCCUACUCCAAGAUGAGAUCUCCCAUUCGCAAGAAGUAAGACCCCUUAAAGACGAUAAGGUAGAUAGGCCAGGGAUGGAAGUGCAGUGAUGUACGGAGUUGACUGGUACUAAUCGGUCGAGGACCAA
rnacentral:rRNA from 1 species